rnacentral:rRNA from 1 species
GCCAACGGCCAUACCAUGUUGAAUACACCGGUUCUCGUCCGAUCACCGAAGUUAAGCAACAUCGGGCGUGGUUAGUACCUGGAUGGGUGACCGCCUGGGAACACCGCGUGCUGUUGGUA